AUGUUCAUACAUGGGAGGUGCUGUGAGAAGAAUCCGACUGCAAAGCUGUAUCACAAGACAAGGUGAGAGAAUCAGCCUAAAACAUGAAGAGAAACCUUUAUGGCCUUCUCACUGUAAAUAAAAACUCUUUUAUUGAAGCUUUGAGGAGGCUAUUUGCUAUUUUACUCAAAUUAACGUGAUUUCUGUAACUCUGUUUACAGGUUAGAGAAGCUGCAGGGUAUUGCAUAGCUCUCCAUCUGA
rnacentral:lncRNA from 1 species